rnacentral:rRNA from 1 species
UACGUAGGGGGCAAGCGUUGUCCGGAUUUAUUGGGCGUAAAGAGCGUGUAGGCGGCCAGGUAGGUCUGCUGUGAAAACUCGAGGCUUAACCUCGAGCUGUCGGCGGAAACCAUCUGGCUAGAGUCCGGAAGAGGAGAAUGGAAUUCCCGGUGUAGCGGUGAAAUGCGCAGAUAUCGAGAGGAACACCUGCGGCGAAGGCGGGUAGCUGGGCCGACACUGACGCUGAGGCGCGAAAGCCAGGGGAGCGAACGGG